ACAGGCUUAACACAUGCAAGUCGAGGGGUAGCAGGGUAGCAAUACCGCUGACGACCGGCGCACGGGUGAGUAACACGUAUCCAACCUUCCCAUAACUCAGGGAUAGCCUUUCGAAAGAAAGAUUAAUACCUGAUGGUACCUCUUCUGGACAUCCAGUUAAGGUUAAAGAUUUAUCGGUUAUGGAUGGGGAUGCGUUCCAUUAGAUUGUUGGUGAGGUAACGGCUCACCAAGUCUUCGAUGGAUAGGGGUUCUGAGAGGAAGGUCCCCCACAUUGGUACUGAGACACGGACCAAACUCCUACGGGAGGCAGCAGUGAGGAAUAUUGGUCAAUGGGCGAGAGCCUGAACCAGCCAAGUAGCGUGAAGGAUGACGG
rnacentral:rRNA from 1 species